GACGAACGCUGGCGGCGUGCUUAACACAUGCAAGUCGAACGGAAAGGCCCCCACCUUGGUGGGGGUGCUCGAGUGGCGAACGGGUGAGUAACACGUGGGUGAUCUGCCCUGUACUUCGGGAUAAGCUUGGGAAACUGGGUCUAAUACCGGAUAGGACCAUGGUUUAGUGUCUCAUGGUGGAAAAAUUAUUGUUUUGGUGCAGGAUGAGCUCGCGGCCUAUCAGCUUGUUGGUGGGGUAAUGGCCUACCAAGGCGUCGACGGGUAGCCGGCCUGAGAGGGUGGACGGCCACAUUGGGACUGAGAUACGGCCCAGACUCCUACGGGAGGCAGCAGUGGGGAAUAUUGCACAAUGGGCGCAAGCCUGAGGCAGCGACGCCGCGUGGGGGAUGACGGCCUUCGGGUUGUAAACUCCUUUCGUUAGGGACGAAGCCACACCUUUUUUGGGUGUGGUGACGGUACCUUUGUUAAGAAGCACCGGCUAACUACGUG
rnacentral:rRNA from 1 species